UAACAUUGAAUAAUCGUACCGUAGACAGUAGGUGCCGCAAGGCUUAAUCUCCUACCGAGGUGUUCGAAUAGAAGGAGUGCGAGGGUGUGUAGUUUGCCUGCACAUCAUUCGCUCGUGAUGCCUCUGUAGAAUACCUGCAGAGGCUUUUCUUAUGCUCGA
rfam:Paenibacillus sp. 11 genome assembly, contig: Ga0139009_112